GAGUGCUGAUCUUGCUAGUGGCCUGUGACCCUGGCAUUUGGCCAGCCAUUGUUACCCAGGGGCCAGAGGACAGAAUGCUGCCUUCACAAGUCUCCCAAGGUGCACGAUUUCUUCCCCCUGCAUUCCAACGUGAAGCUGUCAGGAAGAGUAGUUGUAAAGAGGAGGCCACUGGCCUGUGCAUCAUCCUCAUGUCCAGAGGUAUCAUCAUGGCAAAUUUUGAGAGUCUUCAGGGAGCUGAGAGGAACCCAGUCAACAGCCAGAAAGAAGCAGGACCUCAGUCCUACAGCCACAAGGAGAUGAAUUCUGCCAGCAGCAGUGAGAUUGGAGGAGGCUCGAGGCCCUGGAUGAGAACGACAGCCCCCUAGAGCCUCUGAGCAGAGAAUCCACUUGAUCACUAAACAUCCAACCCAGAGAACUGUAAGGUGUGUUGAUGGAGGAUGUUUACAGGUCCCAGAAAAGAAAUGACAAAUCUAGGCUUGGAUAGGGGCCUUUCACUGUUGUACAACUCAACCCCAACAAAGCCAGUGUCUGAAUCCAGCUGAAACCUUCCAAAGUUCACCUGUGAUUAAUUGAAGCCUUAAUAAAGACAAAAGCUCUGACCUUGGUCCUCUGGGUUCCCUACCUUGUGUAAAUUAGCAUUUGAACAUGGGUUAUGAAAUGUGUGACAUAUCAAAUAGGAAAGCACCUGAUACCAUGGAAUCUGCAUACUGAUGAGAAGAAUAAGAGAAUUCAAUGAAUGCUAAAUUAUGGAUCUACGGAGGACUGCCUUUGUUAAAAUCUACAUGUUACUAUCUGUAAACUCCAGAGUAUUCAACAGAAAGAAGAGGGGCCAGUGUACCUGGCAAACCUUCCUUUAAAAAAAAAAAAUCUUUAUGAUACAGAGAAAAGACUUUAUAAAAUAUUAGAUAAAAAGACUCCUUUCAAAAUGUGUUUGCUUUGUAGUGAUUCCCUUUCUGGCUCUUCUGCAUAGUUAAAAGUCAUCACCACCUUGAGUACAUUGCUGGCUUUUAAAAAGACAUUGCACCUUCCCCAGUUCUGACACAGCUACCGGACCUGCCUUUGGAAAUGUCUCAUUGUCCUCACCAUAAGCAUUUCAGUGAAGGCAAGCAAAGUCAAACAAAGCCAAAAUUUUUUUUUUCUAAUCCGCCCAACAACAAUGCUUCAUGGACAGUCUCCUCUGGCCCAGUUUCAGGGCUAUGUAUGACUAUAGACAGAAAGCUAUUUCGAGCAUUGAA